AAGAGUGGUCCUGAAAAGACCUUUUGUUAGUUGCCUUUGAAAAAUGCAAAAUCUUGCGGAUCUGUUUGGAACGGCGAGCUUGGAGCUAUCUUGUGGCAGGAUUCCUUUCUGGAGAUAGGCAAUAUCUCGUCCAUUUCACGUCGGAUUUUCUUCCAUCUAGAGGAUUUGAUUGGCGACCCCAAUGCUUGGGUUAGCUGGAAUUCAGAGGUAUGCACCUGUUUUUAGAAAUAAACUCAAAAGUUGAUGCCAGCGUAGCUAAGGCGUCUGCCUUUAUAUCCUCUCGGGGAUCUGGGGGAUGUAAAAUUCCUUGAUCUUUGCGGGGACGAGCUUUACCUCGCCCAAAUAAGCCAUCAUUCUUGAGUCCUUGGCGAGGUAGUCUCCUGGGACUUGGUACCACAGUUGUGAAUCACUGAAGACUUCAAAGAUUGCCGCUCCCAACUCCGUGGCUAUCUUAGUCCGGCGGAGGAGGGCUUCGUACCGGCUUCAUUGUUAGUGGCUUUAAAUCCCCUUCUUAGGCGUAACUCCAUUGUUCGCCUGAUGGAGCUCGUAUGACGAGUCCUGCACCAACAACCGUGCGGGGGGGGGGGGGGGGGGGGGGGGGGGGGGGGGAUGGUUAGAAGAAGCCAUCGACGAAUAAUAUCCAGUGGGCGAGGUCUUUUUUUGAGGUUGGUUCUUUAGGAAUCCCGCUUCAAGAGGACCCGUUUCUGGUUAUGGAGUGUCUUUAGGUGGUUUUUGACAAUGAAAUCAGCCAGGCCUGGAAUUUUAUUACCGUCCUUGGCUUGUACUUCAAUGUGGAACUCACUUAGUCGAUGGGACCGUUAGGAGUCGACCUGAUGUGUCUGGUCGCUUGAAGAAUAUGCUUCAUGGUUGAUCAGUCAGUACUAUGAUGGGAUGGGCUGCUGAACGUAAUGACGAAAGUUUUCUCGCGGCGAUCAUUAGGCGUAGGCGGUUUUCGAUCUUCGGAUAUCUGGUCUUGCACCCCUUAAGACUUUGGUAAAGUAGUAAAUUGGCCUUUGGACUUGAUGUCUCUUCUCGGAUGAGCACGACACUCACCGCGGUGGCGGAUGGAUAAAAUACGUAAAGGUCGUCGCCGGUGGUUAGGGACGGUGAGUAAAGGCGGAGACCGAGAUACUCUUUAGAGUUGGAAUGCAUUUUCAGAUCCUCAUUCCAUUGAAAGGCCUGGUUUUUUUUAGGCUUCUGAAGAAGGGGGCAUUUGUCCGUAGACUUGGAGACAAAUGUUGAGAGGCGGCUACCGCCCAGUCAGCUACUGUACUUCUCGAUAUUUUUAGGCGAGGCUUUCAUCGGCGGUUAGGGCUUGGAAUUUGAUCUGGGUUUACCUCAAUUCCACGCUUGGUAUCAAAAAUCUUAAAAAUUUUUCCGGACGACACUCCCAAAAGAUACACUUGAGGAUCAACAUCAUCCGGAUGGCGACGCAGGAUGCUAAAUGCUCUUCAAGUUGGGGACCAAUUGGUCGGAUGAUCGGAGACUUUUGACUAGCAUAUUCAUUAUGUAUACUUCCAGGUCUCCCAAUUUGUUCCUUGAACAUCUUAUGACUAACCUCUGAUACGUCACCCCAACGUCUCAAUCCGAAUGCAUGACUUUAUAACAAUAUAGCCCUCGCUUUGUGAUAAGAAGGUUUUCUCGAUAUCAGGAGGGUACUUUGAUAUGGUGAUACCUGAGAAGGCGUCCAUAAAACUCAGGAGCCUCGGGCUUGGAGGUGGCGUCGACUAGUAGUCGAUUUGCGGCAAGAGAAAACGGUCUUUGGGCAAGCUUUGUUGAGGUCGGUUGAAUCGACGGCAUUACUUCCACUUCCUCUUUUUUAGGGGAGACCACGGACAUUGGCGAAGCCAAUCCGGUAGUGGGUUCUCGGGACGACGUUAGCUCUGAUGAGCUUAUUCAUUUCGUCUUCAAUAACUUUUAGGCCGUUCAGGGGUGAACUUCUUCACUUUUGGUGAACUGGAGAAUGUUUUGGGCGGUAAAACAGUUUGUGCAUGCGCGGAUUAGGAUCAAUGCUAGGAACGUUCCUGUGACUAGGCGAAUACGUCGGAUUGUCUUUUAAGAAGUUUAUUAAGGGGGCGAAACGAAGCUCAUGGUAAGUUCUGUGCCGAUCAUGAUAUGGCGAUAGGAUAUUCUAGAUGUAUGGAGAUGGGGACGAUCUUUCAAGAGGCUGGUGUUAUUGGUUUCUCUGGGGCUGCCAGGGUGAGUUGUUCCACUUCAUCUCUGAGUUCCACUUCAUCCUGGAGUUACCUCGUAUCGUCGCCCACGUUCGUAAUUACUAUUGGAAUGGGCGGAACUGAAGAGGUUUCGACCCUCAUGGUGCAAUGAAGCUUGCCUGGCCACUUUCUGAUCGCCCUCGAUCUCGCUAUCCCUGUGGGUGGGAAACAUUAGCUUCAGGUGAUCGACGAGGGAUCGGCCUUGAUUCCUCCUUAAAAGUGUCGCCCCAAGAUGCGUAUAGGGCAAGGGCAUCUACCACAAAUAAAAAUUCUGCCAUACGUGGUUUGGUGGGGUUCAGUUCCCGAGUUAUCGUCAAAUGAUCUAUCCCAAGGGGUGCGUCUUAUCCCUCCAAAUCGAUCAGGGGAGUAUGGAAAGGGUGCAACUUGUCCAGCCCAAUUUCAUUUUUUUUUGAACGCUGAGAUGAACAGAUAUCGGAGCUCCGUUGUCGAUUAAAAAUCCUCUGAACGUUAAAAUUGGCGAGAGGCUGAGACAAACCAGGGCAUCGUCGUGGGUAGGUGCCAAGCCUCUCAAAUCCAUCAUUGCUGAAGGUGAUGGGUGUUUGAGUCAGCAACAAAUGCGAGGAGGAGGUUAUAGACUUCCUUCCUCGGACGAUCUAUGGGACUCUAGAUCUGCCUUUUCCAUGGAUGAAGUCGAAUAACGUCCGAUCCGAAACCUCUUUAUGGAUUGUUUGUAUAUUGCCGCAGUUGGCUUUGUUGCUGUACCUUCUUUCUGGGGAGUUGGGUGGUGGGCGAGUAGCGACAUAUGUUCUCAGGUAACCCCUUUUAAUGAGGUCGGCGCAUCUGUUCUUCAGUUGAAAAUAGUCCUCAGUAUUGUGUCGUGGUCCCGGUGGAAUUCACAAUAUUUGUUCCUGUUCCUAUUCUGGGGGUCAGUCUUGAUCUUCCCGGGCAUUGAGAAUUCUUCGUGGCUUAAUUCCGAGAGUACUUGGGCGACAGGGGCGUUGAGUGGAGGUAGAAUAAACUCAAGUCGGCGAGGCGGGGUGCGAGGGACGCCUAAUCGCUAGACCGUUUGGGAUCCGGUCAGGUUUUUUUUUUGUACCUCAUUUCCUCCCUAUAACAGUCGCCUAGUAUCAGGCUCUUUCCUCUAGCUCAUUUUCCUCGUCGCCUUCGUUUAACCGGCUAACUCUUCUGCGGCGAUAUCACUUGUCGGCUUUGCUCUGGGCGUGGAUAAGUCUCAGGGACGCUUUUGGAACGGGAGUCGAACAGGGGACAGGUCAGAGUCCUUCCAUCAUUGCCAUGAUAACUUACUUUAUAGCUGGAUCUUCAACUUCUAAUAUGGCAUGAUUGAAUGUUUCACAAAAUCUUUACGCUCUCGGUCUCCCUUUUGGUGAUCGGUGAAACAAGUGGGAAGCAUUCUUCUGUCGAUUCUGCACUCAUGAAAUUGGCAACAAAGAGUCGAUUAGCUCGCCAAAAGAGUCUACGGUUCUUGGCGCUAGUUUUCGAAACUACGGACUUGGCCGGUCAUUUCAAAGUGGCGGAGAACGUGCACAAAACUCAUCGAGCAACCCAUGAAGAGAAAUAGGUUUGUACGAGUCCAGGUGAUCCAUCGGAUCUGUCUACCCUUCAUAAAUGCCGAGCUGAGUUGGGAGCUUGAACUUCGAAGAGAUCCGAGCUCUAUACCCUUCCGUGAAUGGCGGAUCUGUUUGUCUGACCAGAGUAUACACAGUUACUGGAGCAUUUGUCCCAGUGUUAAUGGCGUCUAGCCGGGGUCCAAAUCUCGAAUCUUCUGCGAGGUGGAGUGUUCGUGCCCGAUCUGAUCGCUUUGUGGGGACUCCUUCCCUCCACCUGGCCGAGUUUGACUAGAUUCUGAUGAGGAAACUCCUUUCAUGUAAGGACGGAUUGAUGCCGGAUGCCUACCCCUUGCUCGUUCGGACUGAUGUGUGAAAACGAUCCCAGAACGAUUAGAGUGUCGAGAUCGUUCAUAUCAGGGAGGAUGGUGCGCCGGAAGUGGGGGGUUGGCAGCAGUGGAGAAGUUGCAUUAGGUGACCAUAUUUUCGUUUCAUGAUUCCUCAUCUGCUAGCCCUAUCGUAUAUCUCACAGUGGAGGCCUUCUAGAUUUGGAACUUGGCCGGUGGCCAUAGGAUGGGAUCUGUUACCAGGGGCUACUGGCACUUGGUCUGGGAGCUUGCGGGCUGUGGCCAAGUGCAUAGAAAAUCGAGGAAUGUCGUUCCCACGACGACCGCAAACGUUGUGUAAAAAACUAGGGCUAGCAACAACAGGGUCAAUAUUGUGUUCUCGAAUUGGACCUCGGAACUUUUAAGGGGCGACCGCACAGAGGAACAGAAGUAAAUGGCCGGGCGAGCCACUCAAAACCCCUCCGGCGUGGAGAUCAGACCAAAGGCGAUGACAGCGGGUAAAAGAGCUCAGAAGAGAGGUAGAGUAUGUUGAGCGUACCAUUUGUAUAAUUGGGGAGCGGCUUUUUUAGACGGAGUAAUGGGGCCGUGCCCAUGGAUCACGCGAGAUCCUCGGAAAGAUGAGUAUGGAAAGAUAUCUCGGAGAGUAGGAGACAUAAUUGGAAAGAUUGCCAUCUGGAGAGGAUCCGUAAUGUCGGUCGUGGAGGAGCAAAUCUCGUGAUGGGCGUAUAGGAUAGGAAUCUGGUGGAGAUGAUCUUGGGGGGGGGGUUGGGGGAUGUGGGGUGUUGUUUUUUUUUUUGUUUUCUUUUUUUUUAAAGCCAAGUAUUCUACCUCGCCCAAGGGCGAGGGAGGCGACUCACUUUUUGGGCUUGGGGGUGAGGCUCAAUGAGAGCCUGGCGAGGGUUCCAUGAUGAACGUGGAUUGUUUUACCUUGGUCAAGAGGUGGAGAUAAGCAAUCUUUGGGGAGAAUCAUGGGCGACCAGUUCUGUGAUGGAAGACGUACGGCCUUGGUCGGUGGAGAAUUUCCCACAUCAAGAUUAGUGAAAAUUUUUUAUGACCAUUAUUACUAUUAAUCUGAUAAUUUAUUUUCUUCCCUUUCUACUGAUUUGAAUCCCCCUUUAGGUUUUUGAUCCCUGUAAUUUAUUUUAAAAAAAAAAUCGGCUUCCACUUUUAGUUUUCUUUUUUGUCGGUGGUUGAGGACAGUUUUAACCUUUGACUUUGCUAUGGCUGUGUAAUUUUUCCCCCUGUUUUUGGAAGAGCUCUGUGAAGGGGUUCUUUUCACAGCUGUGAUUUUCAUCUUCUUUUUUUUUUUUUUUUAUCAAGUAAAAAGUAUUAAGGUCAAAAAGUUGAAUCUCCGGAUUAUACCAAGAGGAAACAAAAGGGCAAAAGGCCUCAACCGAAACAUACCUACAAUUGUAAUACAACGCAGCUCUAUGCCUCAACAAGGCUGUAAAUAAAUCCCACAACCGGAAGCAACCAAACUAAAAAGUGAUUAUCUCAAUUUUAGAAAGCCUAAAGCCUGCCCCAUCAAAUAUCCAGAGACAGCCACAAUAUCACAAAAACAACACAUCACUCACAAUUGCAACACAAUAUUAUAACCAUCGCAACUCGCAGACCAAUACUGGAAACUAAUCUUUGUGGUCUCAAAACUAAUACGGAUUAAACCCACACAAAAGACAAUAAAAGAUUUAUGGUUCGGCCAACGAUGCCUACAUCCCGAGAGAAAUCACAAUCCACUAUCAAACAAAUGGAUUUACAACGGAGGAGAUCACCUCCAACUCACACCCUCUCUCAAAUCUCUCUCUGUCUUUUGCCUCUCAUCUCAUCUCACAGCAAUGGGGGGGGGGGGGGGGGGGGGGGAGCAGAGGAGAAGGGCUCUGUUCUCUCCUCCCCCCCCCCCCUCCCUUAGAAAAUCUAAGCACCCUACCAUCCCUUUUAUAGACCAAGGGAAAGAGGUGGUGACUCCUAUCAGAAUACCUAAUCUUAUCCUAAUCUAUCUAGGAAAACAAAAGGGUGAUAGAAAGACCUCUCCAAGAGUUCUAGAUAACUCGAGAGUUUCACUGUCACAUGGACACUCCUAUGGGGGGGGGGGGAACUUCAAUGGCUUGGGCUUCGCUACUGGACUCGGACUCAUCCAAGUGGCUUGGACUCAUCCAGAUGGGCUGGACUCAACAAUCUCCCCCUCCACCCACUAGAGGGUAAUUGACGUCUCAAGUUUGUCCUUCCUGACAGCUUUCUGAUCAGCUCCCCCAUAAGACUGCAAGACAUCAUCCGAGAAUCUUACCUCAUCACAGUACUCCACUUUCCCACCACAGUUGGCCUUCACCUCCACACUGAAGUGGCUGCACCUUCUCACUGAGGUCCCUGCACCCCCACUAUGGUGCCCCCCACCGGGGUGGAGCCACAAAGUAUGUCAACUUUGCAGUUUUCGUGGCUCCAUCUCUCCUCCCUUGUGCACACCACGAUAGAGAUCCACCGCCACUGAUCAAAUCGAGAGCAAAAGAGACUCGCUUCGGCAUCACCGCGCCCUUCGCUGUACAGCUUCUCAAAAUCGACUUGGUCUCCUUCCUCUGAGCUUCUCUAUGGACAUCCUUCCUAGUUGCACCACUCGUGCUGGCCAGACUUCCGUACAUAUCCCAAGUAUCUCCCUGCGCUCUGUACCACUCCGGAUUCUCUAGGGUACCCCUGCGCUUACUUUGUGUACCUCUGUGCAAACGGUGCUUCCCUUGUCCACUCUGUCUCGCUAUAUCCACUAGACCCAUGUCGGACAGUAGCUCCCCCUGUCUGACACUCCCUCCAAUCGGUAUAGUCCUCCUUCUUCUUUCCCCACAGCUCUCCUUGUUUUUCCUUGAAACUCGAGAGUUCCUCCACUAGCAUCAAGUUGCAUCCCUUUACUCUAGCAUCCCAAUAGAAAUCAAUUUUUCGUAGAUUAGAACAUGCCUUACCUCAGUCACGUCCCACAGACCUCUUGUCUGCCAUGCGAAACCGGACUGACCCUCUGCCAACAACUCUCUAGACGUGUUGUUCGCCCAUCCAUAUACGUCCUCGCAUGGUGCAUAUUUAAGAACACCUCUCUAUCUCUGCACAUGGUUAAGACUGCUGAUCCAAUAACCCAAUCUGACUUUCCAUCUUCCGAUGCUACUGGAGAACGUCAAACUCAUCCUCAUCCUCAGCCAUCACUAUUUGUUCCGCUGUUUGUAUUUGAAGACUGAUCAUGUGCUUUAUACUUUGACCAUCCCUCUUGAUUGUCCCUCCUGGUAGAAAUAAAGCCCUAAUAGUGCGACCUCUCCCUGUGACCACCGUCCUUUUUCAGUACCCUUAUGAUGACCUCUUCCUUGACCUCAGCCUUUUCCCUGCUUCUCUUGAAACUAGGGCUGGACUCACUCUGAUCUGUCGAACCCAUCUCUCUCCUCCUAGUCCUCUUCAUGACCGGGCAUCCAUGACCAUAAUCGUAGUUCCUUCUUAGUCGGCGUCUGAUUGCGAGAGAAACCACCAUGGCCUCUCAACUCUCUGGCAAGGAACUCAGAGCAAUAAGGCCGCACCUCGUCGCAACUGUAGGUCACACUAGUCAACCUAAUUGACCAAAUUUUUAGAAUUCCCUCGUAGUUUCCGCCACUGUAGUCUUUCUCCUGAGUUUUUAAAUCACAAGCCUCCUCAUCAAUAAAGGCUUUAUUUCGAGAAUGUCUUCGCCUGGCCAUUCUCCUCCAACUGAUCCACACACCUCACAAGCACUCGUCUCCGGUGCUUACAUAUGGAAACACCUCGUGUCAAUGCACUGUCUAAGCCCAAUCGCCUUCACUAUUCAUUUUCCUCCAUUCCUUCUCAUCCUUCUUCACUAAAGUUUUUCCUCCCUCUUUAAUUCUCCAAAUGGUUCGUGCAAAUCCUUGCCAAAUAGGAUGUCCGACAUCUAGGUUUCCAUAUGGCAUAAUUCGCGUCCUGAAAAGUACGAUCUCGAACCAAUUAUGGCACUUUGCCAUCUGAUUUCUCUCAAUAGAAGCAAAAUUUUUGAAAACCUACCCCGCAAUGAUCCAAGAAUGCUGAGAAAUCUCCAACGAAGGCUAAACUGUCAAUCAAAAAACUUCUAGGACCAAACUGUCAAAAUUAGAAAUUUUGGGCCAAAUCACAACAAAAUUCAAAAUUUGGGGUCCCAUUUUGACAAAUCAAAAACUUUUUCUUUGGGACCAAAUUGAAAUAUCCGAACUUCAGGACUAAACUGUAUUAUCAGUAACUCUAGGGACCAUCUUACUUCAAUAGAAACUCUAGGGAACCAAACUGUAAUUACUCAAAAAUCCAGGGCAAAAGUGUAAUUUACUCAAAACAGUCAACGGUCAACAGAUCAAGUCAACGGUCAAUGCUGACUGGGCGCUGACACGUGGCGCGUGGCGGUCGUGGCUGAGACGAUUUCAAAACGGCUCCGUGGGGGCGCGUUGGACACGUUUUCGCGAGUUUGGUGCUGGGCUCCGUAUCAACGAGAGGAAUCCCUGGUGCAAUCAAAAAAUUCAUUUUAGUGCACUUUCCAUACACCCAAAUUUCGACUUGGGCUCCGAAUUGCUCCACUAGGCUCUGAUACCAAUUGUUGUGCUCAAAACUAAUUACGGAUCACACACACACAAAGACAAUAAGAUUUAACGUGAUUCGCCAACUAUGCCUACAUCCACGGAGAGAAAUCACAAUCCACUAUCAAACGAUGGAAUUACAACGGAGGAUACUCACCUUUCAACUCACCCCCUCCCUCUCCCCAUCUCUCCUGUCUUGCCUCUCAAUCUCUACCUCACAGCACUAUCUGCUCUCAAGCCCACAACACAACGAACGUAGAAAUCUAGAGCCCCCUACCAUCCCUUUUAUAGACCAAGGGAAGAAGGUGAGUGGACUCUACCAGAACCUAUCAUUAUCCUAAUCUAUCUAGGAAACAAAGAUAAGACUAUCCAGAGUUCUAGAUAACUCGGAGUUUCAUCACCGUCACAUGGAAACUCCAUAUGAACUACAAUCGGGCUUGGGUUGGCUACUGGAUUUGGACUCAUCCAAGUGGGGCUGGACUCAUCCAGAAUGGGUUGGACACAAAUAUAAUUCCACUUUUUGUCACUAAGGCACACCUUUGAUCAUUAACUAAUUCGGCCCUCCCUGCUUGCUUCUUUUUCAAUUCUUUUUCCUUACAUAAAUUCCCUUUUUAGCUAAAGGGGAAAAGGGAGGAUUGAAGAGGAAGAUGCCUGAGUUCUUUCUGCCUUCGUGGAAUGCGCUUUGCAAUACAACCAGCCUUCCUAAUUCUUUGGGAGGUGUUCUAAUUCUGGGCGGCAUUGAGAUAGCCAAAAACUUUGAGAUUUGGUGUUUUAGUUUGUUUUUUUUGAACGGCAAAGAAGAAGAGAGAAAGGAGAACAAAAUUACAACACAGAGGAAAACACCAGCCAAAAAUGUUGAUAAGAAAUCAACCAACAAAUCAGAACCUCAACAACUACCUAAGUAUUCCUAUCAACUAAGAUAAAUGUAACAAAACAAACCUAGAUGCUAGCAGCUUUGGACAUCCUAUCCUCGCGACUUAUCUGCACCGUAGCAAAAUCCUCGAACCUUACGGCCCACACAAACCAACAACUUUACCUCACGGAACCCAAUGAGAACAUUCUGACUCAAACACUGAGAUUCAACAAGGGGUGAUCUUCGUUACCCUCAUGAAAUCCCAUAUCAGAGAACUGCUUAUGGACCAUAACCAAAAAUAAAACUAAACUGAACAUUCCUAGAUAACACCCAACUACCAACCAACAUAGCAUCAGAGGAAGUACUCUGCACUAGCCACUUCUGAAAUCAUCUAAAUAUAUGUCAUAACAUUGUUAAAUCUCUACCAUCCUUGCUUGAUGAUAACCCUGGGUAAUAAGAGCUCAGAUAUCCCAGCCAAUCCACUGGCUUAUUACCAAACACCUUUGGU
rnacentral:lncRNA from 1 species